rfam:Myotis brandtii contig186010, whole genome shotgun sequence.
GCCAAGUAGCUCAGCUGGUUAGAGCAUUGUCCUGAAAUGACAAGGUUGCAGGUUCCAUCCCUGGUCAGGGCA